UAAGCGGAGGAAAAGAAACCAACAGGGAUUGCCUUAGUAACGGCGAGUGAAGCGGCAAUAGCUCAAAUUUGAAAGCUGGCCCCUUCGGGGUCCGCGUUGUAAUUUGUAGAGGAUGAUUCGGCGAGGGCUCCCGUCUAAGUCCCUUGGAACAGGGCGUCAUAGAGGGUGAGAAUCCCGUAUGUGAUGGGCUGCCUUAGCCAUGUGAAUCUCCUUCGACGAGUCGAGUUGUUUGGGAAUGCAGCUCUAAAUGGGAGGUAAAUUUCUUCUAAAGCUAAAUACCGGCCAGAGACCGAUAGCGCACAAGUAGAGUGAUCGAAAGAUGAAAAGCACUUUGGAAAGAGAGUUAAAAAGUACGUGAAAUUGUUGAAAGGGAAGCGCUUGCAGCCAGACUUGUCCGCAGUUGCUCAGCUUGUCUCCUGACAGGCGUACUCUUCUGCGGCCAGGCCAGCAUCAGUUCGGGCGGUCGGAUAAAGACCUGGGGAAUGUAGCUCCUCUCGGGGAGUGUUAUAGCCCUGGGUGCAAUGCGGCCAGCCUGGACUGAGGAUCUCGCUUCGGCUAGGAUGCUGGCGUAAUGGCUGUAAGCGGCCCGUCUUGAAACACGGACCAAGGAGUCUAACAUCUAUGCGAGUGUUUGGGUGUCAAACCCAUGCGCGUAAUGAAAGUGAACGGAGGUGGGAACCCUCACGGGUGCACCAUCGACCGAUCCUGAUGUCUUCGGAUGGAUUUGAGUAAGAGCAUAGCUGUUGGGACCCGAAAGAUGGUGAAMUAUGCCUGAAUAGGGUGAAGCCAGAGGAAACUC
rnacentral:rRNA from 1 species